CAGCCCCUCGAGUGGUGGGGAUGAUUAUUUGGCCUAAAGCGUCCGUAGCCUGCCGUAUAAGUCUCCCGUUAAAUCCAGCGUCUCAAGCGUUGGACUGCGGGAGAUACUGUACGGCUAGAGAGUGGGAGAGGUCAGCGGUAUUCUGGGGGUAGGGGCGAAAUCCUUUGAUCCCCGGAGGACCACCAGUGGCGAAGGCUGCUGACUAGAACACGUCUGACGGUCAGGGACGAAAGCUGGGGGAGCAAACCGGAUUAGAUACCCGAGUAGUCC
rnacentral:rRNA from 1 species